UAACCUCUGACGAUGUUCGUGAAUGUUG
rfam:Dokdonia sp. 4H-3-7-5 chromosome, complete genome.